rnacentral:rRNA from 1 species
CCUACGGGGGGCUGCAGUGGGGAAUAUUGGACAAUGGGCGGAAGCCUGAUCCAGCCAUGCCGCGUGUGUGAAGAAGGUCUUCGGAUUGUAAAGCACUUUAAUUUGGGAGGAAGGGCAGUUAACGAAUACUUAACUGUUUUGACGUUACCAAAAGAAUAAGCACCGGCUAACUUCGUGCCAGCAGCCGCGGUAAUACGAAGGGUGCAAGCGUUAAUCGGAAUUACUGGGCGUAAAGCGCGCGUAGGUGGUUCGUUAAGUUGGAAGUGAAAGCCCCGGGCUCAACCUGGGAAUUGCUUUCAAAACUGGCGAGCUAGAGUACGGUAGAGGGUGGUGGAAUUUCCUGUGUAGCGGUGAAAUGCGUAGAUAUAGGAAGGAACAUCAGUGGCGAAGGCGACCACCUGGACUGAUACUGACACUGAGGUGCGAAAGCGUGGGGAGCAAACAGGAUUAGAUACCCGAGUAGUC